GACGAACGCUGGCGGCGUGCUUAACACAUGCAAGUCGUACGGUAAGGCCCUUUCGGGGGUACACGAGUGGCGAACGGGUGAGUAACACGUGAGUAACCUGCCCACAACUUUGGGAUAACGCUAGGAAACUGGUGCUAAUACUGGGUAUGUGCUCCUGCUGCAUGGUGGGGGUUGGAAAGCUCCGGCGGUUGUGGAUGGACUCGCGGCCUAUCAGCUUGUUGGUGGGGUAGUGGCCUACCAAGGCGGCGACGGGUAGCCGGCCUGAGAGGGUGACCGGCCACAUUGGGACUGAGAUACGGCCCAGACUCCUACGGGAGGCAGCAGUGGGGAAUAUUGCACAAUGGGCGCAAGCCUGAUGCAGCAACGCCGCGUGCGGGAUGACGGCCUUCGGGUUGUAAACCGCUUUCAGCAGGGACGAAGCUUUUUGUGACGGUACCUGCAGAAGAAGCACCGGCUAACUACGUG
rnacentral:rRNA from 1 species